GACGAAGGGGGCUAGCGUUGUUCGGAAUUACUGGGCGUAAAGCGCGUGUAGGCGGUUGUUCAAGUCAGGUGUGAAAGCCUUGAGCUCAACUCAAGAAAUGCACUUGAUACUGGAUGACUGGAGGACCGGAGAGGAUAGUGGAAUUCCCAGUGUAGUGGUGAAAUACGUAGAGAUUGGGAAGAACACCAGUGGCGAAGGCGGCUAUCUGGACGGUUUCUGACGCUAAGACGCGAAAGCGUGGGGAGCAAACAGG
rnacentral:rRNA from 1 species